rnacentral:tRNA from 1 species
GGAGAGGUGGGUGAGUGGCUGAAACCAGCGGUUUGCUAAACCGCCAUACGGGUGAAAACCUGUAUCGAGGGUUCAAAUCCCUCCCUCUCCG